GGGAGGACAGUUUAUACCUUCAGUUCACUGGAGCUACUUGAUUGCAGACUAACUGAAUGGUCUCUGGAAAGAUUAGGCAAGGCUGCAGGCAUCAGCUACCUCACCACUCUCUGCCUGGACUACACAUGGGAGGUCUACAUCAAUGGCAAU
ensembl:lncRNA